UUUGUUCCUUCUUUUUUUUCAUUGAUCUUUUCUAUCUUGUGAGUUAUUUGAACAUUUUUUGUAGUAUUCCAUUUAAAUUUAUUUGCAGCAUUGAUAAGUUUAUCUCUUUGUACAAUUUUUAAGUGGUUAUCCUGCAUUUGCAUAUAUAAUGUAUAUAACAGUUUACCAGUAUCAGCAUUAUGUCACUUCAAAUGGAAUGUAGAAACUGAUCAUUGGUUAGUUGAAAUCUUGUUCCCUUUUUGUGCUAAAGUGCCUGUCAGAUGAACAACAUUGCUCAUGUCAGAUUUCUCCAAAGUGACCACUGCAAUACCUAAUUGUCUUUGAUAAAAUUAUGCACCUUGAAGAGAUGUGUGCAUGAUUUAGCAAUAUAAGAGGUAUCAUGAAGAAAAGGUUUUUGGCCUUAUUAGGGAGUGCAAACUUAGACUAAAAAAUUCUCAUGAGGAUUAUUGCAUUGAUAAUGUGCUUUUGUAACUAUGUCUCCAGUUCUGUCAAAGACCAGAUUGCAGGUGAGGACUAUUUGAAAAAAAAAAAAAGAAAAAACAGCUCUAAGAAGACACAACUAUAGAAAGUAAGUCUUAAAAUACCUUGAAAGGUGACUGUUGUGGGUUGAAUUGUCUACCAGAAAGCCAUGUUGAAGUCUAAACUCCAGGUACCUGUGAAUGUGAGUUUAUUUGGAAAUAGGGCGAAGUUAAAAUGAGGUCAUACUGAAUUAGGGUGGGCCCUGAAUCCAGUGACGUGUCAUUCGAUGGAGAGGGAGGUCUGGAGAUGCACGAAGAGGGAAGUAGGCCAUGUAAUAACAGCGGCAGAGACUGGAGAGCUGGAACUAUAAGGUAAGGAAAACCAAAGAUUGCAACAACCACCAGAAACUAGAAAGGACUCAAGUAAUACAGUGACCCAAGGCAGAGUUUAUUCCAAGGAUCCAGGGCUGAUGAGAUGAGACUUUCCGAACUUAGAAGCUAUCAGCACCAGCCUCACUGGCAAGCUGUCUGGUCUGUCUCCCUCACUGUAGGCUUUCCUUUUAUAAAGGAGUGAUUGUCAAGAAAAUGGACAACUGGGCAGAUAAAUAGCAAUGCUGAGUUAAAUGCUUAGCAGCCAAAUUUUACCAAAGAGCAGUGAUCAGAAUUCAGAAGUCCUAGGAACCAAGUAUAAACCUAAUGUUGAAGGGCUCAACAAAUUAUUUGGAGCUCACAUUUCAGCAGCAGUCCUCUUGUAAAGGACAACCUAGAGACUAUGGAGAUUCAAGGAGUUUGAGAUUCGUUCCUGAUUUACAAGUCAAGCAUGGUUUGUGACAGAGAAGGGUCUAAACUAGAUUCAGGAAGCGCCACUCUUGCAUUAACUGACCAAUCACAGACCACUGUGACCACAACUGAGAUCAAAGUGAAGUUUCUUUAGCAAGGUGAGGACCUGAGGGGCAUCCUUGUAAGAGAGUUGGAGCAAACUUACAGGUCUGGACUGGUGCUGGGUGAUUCAAAGAAGGGUUAACAAAAUGGAGGCUGGUAGUGAUGUGGGUGCUGUCAGGAGCUUGGGGCUACUCAGUAAUUGUAUACCUUGAUAGUUUUAUCUAGGAGGCGAUUCAUGUAAAGCAGAGAUAGAGUUGUUGACAAAAAGAAAAGUCAUGUCAGAAACAGGAGGUGCAUAAUUACUUUAUGCAGAAUGUAGUUGCAGAAUGUCUCAUCUCUUGUUUGAGACGUGCCUGCUGAGUGGUUCUGCCCUGCUGGGUCCACUGUCUUCACCGAGCUGCCUCGUCUGAUCAUGGAUAUAUUGUUGUUGAUAUAUUGUGACCAUUGUUUAUGUUUAGGUGAGGCUGUCGCAGCCUUUCUACUACUUGCCAAGACUUCUUCCUUUUCUAGGAGUCCGACCUGGAGACCGCAUUUAUCACUUCUGCCUACAUGCAGUUGGUUAGGACACAGUCGUGGCUACAGCUAAGAGGAUGGGAAGUAGAUUUUAGCUGUGCCCAAAGGAAAUGUGAAAUAAGUUUAGUAAUUAUGUGACACUCUUUUUUCAUUGUUUUUGUUCUUUUUUCUCUUUAUCCCCAUUUCUACUCCCAUAAGACAUACAACGUAGUAUUUAAUAUGUGUCCUUCUGAAGUACCUUCUAUAUAUUUAAUUAAUUAAUAUGAAUCUUUGAAAGAUACAUAGGAUUGCUUUGAGUACAUUCAUAAAGUGUAAGUAAAUGUUCAUUGUAUAUCAUUGUGAUAAUUUUUCCUGUAUUUUUGAGAUCCAUUUAUGCUGCUACAUACAGAUCAAAUCCAUACCUCCUGAUUGCUUCAAAAUAUUAUGUUUUAUUCAUAUUCAUUUGACAUUUUACUUACCAUUUCACCACAUACAAGAAGUCAAAAGCCUUACUAAUUUGUCGUAUUUAUUCUUCCAGUUAUUUUUGCCGAGUGGAGCACCCCUUAGUGGCUUACGAUAAUGAUUUUAUUUUAAUCACAUGUCUGCAGUUGGCCUGGGACUGGCAGAGACAGCUCAUCCGUGCUCCAUGCACUGUUAGCUGGUGCUGGCAGGUUCUCAGCUGACUGGGCUGGAGUCCACUGAAUGCUCUGUGGCCUCUGGUGGAUGAUGUUGGCCGUUGGUGGGGGCCUCAGCUGGGGCUGUUUGCCAGAGCACCUACAUACAGCGUGUCCAUGUAGCUCCCCGGCUUCCUCAGUGUGGCGGCUUGGUUAAUCUAGUCCUGCAAGAGGUUUCAGUUUAGCAGAUCUGUCUUUGAUGUUGAGAGUUACAACCUGUCUUUCUAUCCUUCUAAAUAAACCCUUCUUUUUGUGAUAAGACUGCCUCAUUAGACUUUCUUGACUUACGUUUGAAACUGUUGUUGACAAUCCUACUGCUGUCUGAAUAACUUGAUGUUACUCUCUAUUUCUCCCCAUGCUCUUUGAUUUCUUACACCACUCAGUUUAGUUAUAAUAAUAAUGCCAUCAGCUCCCAUUUAUUGAAUGCCUAUCACACACCAGACACUCUACCCUGUACUUGGCAUUUAAGCCUCACAACAACCCACUGAAGAUGGUAAUUUCCCUAUUUUUUGGAGGAAGAAAUGAAAAUUUACAUGGAUUAGGUCAUUUGCUCAGGUUAUAUAUAAUUGAUAAGUAUGGAACCCAAACCCUACUCAGAUGUUUCUAAUUUUUAGUCUGUUUUCAGUCUGCCAUACUGGACCUGACGGGCAUGAUUUUUAUCUCCUAAAAAGCCAACACAGUUAUGUAGCAUCAAGUUGUGAGUUGUCCAUCAAACCACUUCCUCCUGUUGCUAGGCGCAUGACUAGAUUCCUUCAUUGCAGUUAGGCUUAGCCACAUGGUUGGGUUCUACCUACAGCAUGUGAACAGAAGAGAUAGACCCUAUUUCAUGGCCAGGCCCAAUAAAAUGUUCCAUUUCCUGUCCUUUAUGCUCUGCUUCUGCCAUCUAUUAAUAGUUUAUGGUGCCUAAAAUGACCUUGGAAACCACACAUUGAUGAUGUCAAAAACUGACAGCCCGGGUCCCUGACAGGGGUCCCUGACAGAGCUCCCUGCCACCAACCUCAAACCUCUAUAAACUUUAUAUGAGAAGGAGAUAAAUUUCUGCUUAUUUAAGCCAUUAUGUUUUUAGGGGUCUAUUUAUUACAGCAGUUAGCCUUCCUUAAUUUUUAUGGACUGUUUCAAUUAUGCUUUUGUGGGUAACAACCCACCUCAAAAUUUUAGUGGCUUAAAACCAUAGUCUUCACUCAUGAUUCUGUGAAUUAGAAACUUAGUCUCUUGCCUAUGCUUGUUCAUACAGCCACAGCCAGCAGGUGGGUGAGCUGGGGGCUGACUGGUCUAGCAUGGCCUGACUCAUGUGUCCUGAGAUAAGAGCUAGAGCUGGCUGCUGGCUGGACCACGUGUCUCCAGCAGGUUUGCCUGGGGUAAUUCACAUGGUGGUAGAAGCGUUCUCAGCAGCGAGAGGGGGCAAGCCCCAAUCUGCAAGUACCUUUAAGGCGUCUACUUGCAUGUGUUUGCCAAUUUAGCAGUAUCCAAUGCAAGCCACAUAGGUGGAGGGAAAUGUGAUUUCUUGGGGAGUGCUCAGUGCAAGCACUCUGCAGACACGCUACAGUACUCAUGUGCAAAGUAGGCAAAUUGUUCACAUGUGUACAACAGCUCAGCCACACAUUUGAUAAGAGAUUCCAGCUUUAAGCUGUAUUCAUAACCUCUGAAUCAAGUUGUAAUAGCAGGGUUGGUUUUAAUAAAAAUUAUGAUGAUUUUGUUUUAAAAUUACAUUUCAGGUCUAUAUGAAAAAAUGAAAUAUUUGCCAACACGUGAUACGUUCAGGUUAGUAGCACUGGUACUAUAACGAUGAUGCUGUAGUUUAUGGCCUAAAUUUACCUGAUGUUUUAUGAAUUCAGUUUAUCAAGAGCCUAUGGAUUUGUAACCAAAUCCAUACUGUGAAGCAAUCUUUAAUUGCUAGAUUUUUAAUUUAGAUCUUUUAACUCUUUAAUCUUUAGAUUCACCCUUAUUUAGGGUCACUUGUAAAUAAAAAAGCUAGAAGUUCAGUACUUCCUCACUUUCUUUUACCUUUUGCUUUAUUAGGCGGCACUGAGCCACCUGCAGUGGCAGAAUGCUUUCCUGUCUGCUCAGGGUAAAGUACUCUGCAUGCUUUGCCUCCGUGAUGGUAUCAGUACAGUGGUUAAGGCCCUGAGUUCUGGAGCCAGAAUGUCCAGGGUCAUAUCCUAUCAUUUCAGCUGGUUGUGUGACCCUGGGCAAUUUAACUACACAGUGCCUCAGUUUUUGCAUCUAUAAAAUGGGGAUAAUUAUCACAAAGUAACUCAUAGGAUUUUUAUGAGAUUAAAUGAGAUAAAGUAUAUAAAAAAAAACAAACAAAAAAACGCUUAGUUCAGUGCCUAGCCGGUUAGAAGAAGUCAUAAUCAUUUUUUUUUUAAUUUUAGGUUUCUUGAGGUGUAAUUGACAAUUUAAUAUUUUUAAUUACUCUUCAGACCUAUGAGAAUGAAAUAUUUACCAAUACAUCAGAAACUCAGGUUUGUAGGAGACUGCCUAUUAGGAGAUGCAAGCUGAAGCCUCGACAUAAACGUUUCAAGAUGUAUAUAAGUUACUUUCAAAUGCUAUAGCAAAUGGAAAAAUUAUGUUGAAAAUAUAUUAAGGUUAAACAAAUAUGAUAAAAUGUUAAUACUUGUCAAUAUAUGUAGGAUAUGAGUGUUCAUUUAUUAUUUCAGGUUUUCUGUAGGUUUGAGACCUUUCCUGGUAAAAUAUGGAGGAUGGACAUUCUCUCCCCAGUUCUCUCAGCAUCCCAUUUUUCUUUUCAUUCCUCCUUGCUUUCUCUCAUCUUCCCCAGAUUCUCUCCCCAGUCUGUCCCAUGAGGGCCUCUUGUCUCUGCUCAUCUACAGGUCUCUCCUUGUUUGUCCUUACGACUAGCAGCAGCGUUGCCAGUAUAAGUGGUUAAACAUACAGCUCUGGAGCCAGACUGUCUGUGUUGGAAUAUCUGCCGUCUCUCUUACUGUGUGACCUUGGGCAAAUGACUUUUAAACUCUCUGUGGCUCCUCCAAAUGGUUGUGAGGAGUGAAGAAACAAUGAGUAUCUAUAAAUAAUUAGAAGAGGGCCUAGUAUCUUGAGAGCUUUCUGUAGGAAUUUGCCAUAAUGGUACUAUCCUCCUGGUGUCCUUCACUUCUUUUCUGUUCAGCAAUGAUGGGCCCUGCAGCCUUCCUCCUGAGGACAGGUAUUUGAGGGAAGAUUGCAAAUGCUUCUUACUUAAUACCUUUUUUUUUUUUAACACAAAGGAAUUGAAAUGAGCAAAACUCUUCCUGAAAAAGGUUUCCACAUUUAGAAGAAAUAUAUUCUACUCUGUUUUUGCUUUCCUAUUACCCUCUGAAGAGAUGAUUGUUUAAGAGUAAAAUCUUGCAUUAACCCUGGAUGUCGACCAUGGCAUCAACACCUUACCCUAACCUCACAAGCCCACCUCGUCUGCACUGUCUUCUCAACUUACUCUGGAAAUGGCACCGCCCUUCUUCCCGUGUGAGGCCAGUCUGUCACCUAUGCUGGAGAUUCCAGCCUCCUUGCCUUCUCAGGAGCCAUGCAUUCUCUUUUAUUCCUUAUUUCUCUAGUACUCACCUUUCCCUCCCAUUCCAUCUUUUCCAUGAGCAUUUAGCUCCUUCUCCUCUUAAGUUGGGCUUCCCUGGUGGCUCAGAUGGUAAAGAAUCUGCCUGCAAUAUGGGAAACACGGGUUUGAUCCCUGGAGAAGGAAGAUCCCCUGGAGAAGGAAAUAGCAACACACUCCAGUAUUCUUGCCUGGAGAGUUCUAUGGACAGGGGAGCCUGGCAGGCUACAGUCCGUGGGGUCGCAAGCCCCUAACACUUUCAUCUCAAGUCAGACGAGGGAACCCUCCCUAGACCCCAUAUCCCCUUUGAGCCACCGUCCUGUCUUUCUGCUUCACAUAUUUCUGGAAAGAUAUUUUCCUCUUCCAGUUAUUUCUCAGUCCACUCCAGUGGCUUCCCUGUUGCCAGUUUAACAAAAUGGCUGUUACUAAGGUGACCCAUAACCUCUGAGUCACUAAAUCCAUGGGCAUUUACUUUGACUUACAAAAACAUUCAGCAGCAGUGUAAUCUCCUUAUUGAGACCUCUUUAUUCAUCAUUGGCUAUCUGUUGUUCUGUCAAUAAUAAAGUACUGUAUCUUUGACCCAGGAGUCUCAGGUCUCAUGCUAGCUUCCAUGAAACAGUGUCUGACUUCUAACUUGUGAGUAGGCCAAAAUCCAGUCCCAGACCUGACACUGACCAUUGUAUUCCUAGCAGUUCCAUAGUGCUUUGCAUGAAGUAAGUGUUCAAUAUUUGUGAGAUGGAUGGAUGGACAGACAGAUGGACUUUCUCAGUUCUGCCAAGAUACUGCAGGGAUCAGACCUGAAGAGCCAACCGUGUUCUGGAUUCAUUCUGGGAUCAUGUGGGGAGACGGCUGAGAGAACAUGAACGUUAAUUUGAUCUGAAGUUUCUCUGGGCUUAUGUGUCUCAUUGGAGAGUAUUUUGAACUUCCAGCUUCUCUUCUGAAAUGUAAACCAUCUGACAGAGGGGUAAUAAUGAAAAAAAGUUGAGAAAACUGGACUAGAUGAUUCAGAUGGAAGUAUAAGGUUGACCACCAAUAGGCCCUUCUCGGGACUAUGUGUUGACUCAGCAGAAGGAAAAAGAUCUCACGUUGUCUGUGUCUUUGAAGUCAUGGAUGAAUGCACUGACAAUGAAAUUGCUCUUAACACCAUGUACUUUGGAUUUUUAUGUCCAGAGCAAGGAUUUUUAUUCCUGUAAGUGAGCAAUUAGUUACUGGAAAUAGACAUGUGUCACCCCUGGAAGUGGACCAAAACACCAACGAGCCAAAUGUGCCUUCCCAGUUGGGGAGCUGAAAGGGACACCUGGCAAAGGCUGGCGGGCCUGGCUUUGUGGGGUGGUGCCAGCUUCGCUCUGUUCAUACUGUGCAGUGAAGACAUGGAUGCGCUUCCCCCUGUUCAGUGAGUGACACGUAAAUGAGAAGUUUACCUAUGGGCAGUGGAGAACCUUCCCAACAAAUUAGGAGUCUAAUUUCACUUUUGUAAGAAAAUCCAUCAUUCGCCAUCUGGAAGACCAAAGUAUUUCCAGGUGGAGGGACUUGUGAAGGAUCACACUGAGGAUGCGUCUGACUGUUUCUCAUCUGGUUCUCACAGCACGUCACCCCAGGGCCCCACCCAAUGCAGUAAAUGUCUCUGAAGGGGUCACAGCGUGCUUGCCAGGCCGACUUCCUUUUUAAAACCCCUGACUCAGACAACUGGAAGGACUGAUGUUGAAGCUGAAACUCCAAUACUUUGGCCACCUGGUGCGAAGAGCUAACUCAUUU